GCAGGACCGAAGGAGGAGGGAGAGGAAGAGGAGGAGAAGAGGGCAGUGGAGCCCACGGAGGAAAAACCAGAAGAUGUCUUCGCUGCUCAAGAACCUGCAAUGACUCCCUAUUGUCUGCUCCAACAAGACCUAACUCACGAGUGUGCCCAUAAUCAUGGAAUCUACUGGUUACAUCACAUAUGACACCAGCAAGAAGCUACUGGUCUAAUAGAACGUUAGAAUGGCACACUGAAGGCACAGCCAAAUGCCACUCGGAGACAGUACUAAGCAAGAAUGGUGUGCUAUCCUCAAGGGAUGCAUUCUAUACCUUGAAUCAAAGGCCUGUACAGGCUGUUGUGUCUCCAGUUGGAAAAUACUUGGAUUCAGGAACUCAGGUGUGGAAACAGCAGUGGCCCUGCUUAUUGUCAUGCCCAAUGACCCUCUUGGGGAAUUUGUGCCUUCCAUCCCCACAACUCUAGGCUCUGCAAAGUUAGAAAUCUUGCACCCCAGAGGGGGAACACCAGUGUCAGAGAACACAACAAGAGUCUCAUUGAACUAUAAGCUAAGGGUACAGCCUGAGUACUUUGGGUUUUUGUUUCUGGGAAUUAGCAGGCAAGAGAAGAAGUCAUUGUCUUGGCAGGAGUAACUGGUCCCUAUCACUGGGAGGGGGUAGGGUUGCUCUUACACAAUGGGGACAGGAUAACCAUAUUUGGUGCUCAUAUGGUCCACUUGGAUGCCUCUUGGUUGUCCUUUACCCAGAGUGUAGCGGUAAAGGACAAUGCAAUAGCUCUGUCCUCAAAAGGCCAUGUGACCAGAAGCUCAGGGCCCCCAGGGAUGAGGGUCUAAGUCGUGCUUCCAGGUGAGUCACUGAGACCAAUAGAGGGGCCAGCUGAGGGGUAGUGGAGGAGAGAGAUGAUAAUCAAUUGCAGCUACAAUGGCAGGGACUGUAGUUUGUCCCACUAAUAUUUCUCAGGAAGAGCCUUCCAUCAGAAUCCUGAGAAAGUAGAUCUGAGCCUGUAAAGGGUGAGCUGUGGAUGUGCUGUGCAGAGCCCCCUCCAGGGAAGGAGUUGUUGCUCUAAGUUCUGGAAGAGCAUCAGUGGAACCUUCAGCUGUCAGCCCCUCCACACAGGUUGCUCUGCUGCAGAGACACUUCAUUCAAGGUCAAGCCCUUUCACAGGCUGCCCACAUGCAAUGACAGAAGGACACAGGAGAUACGCGCCGGCUGUGCCAACUCCAGAGACCCUCUUGAAGUUGACCAAGGUUGUCAGGUUUUUACCAUAAAUAACUUAGUUUCCCCCUCUGCUCAACCCUGUUUGCUCUGUCUCCCUAAUAAAUCUACUGAACUCUAAA